rnacentral:rRNA from 1 species
UAGUGGCGAACGGGUGAGUAACACGUGGGCAAUCUGCCCUUCACUCUGGGACAAGCCCUGGAAACGGGGUCUAAUACCGGAUAACACCUGCCCGGGCAUCUGGGUGGGUUAAAAGCUCCGGCGGUGAAGGAUGAGCCCGCGGCCUAUCAGCUUGUUGGUGAGGUAGUGGCUCACCAAGGCGACGACGGGUAGCCGGCCUGAGAGGGCGACCGGCCACACUGGGACUGAGACACGGCCCAGACUCCUACGGGAGGCAGCAGUGGGGAAUAUUGCACAAUGGGCGAAAGCCUGAUGCAGCGACGCCGCGUGAGGGAUGACGGCCUUCGGGUUGUAAACCUCUUUCAGCAGGGAAGAAGCGAAAGUGACGGUACCUGCAGAAGAAGCGCCGGCUAACUACGUGCCAGCAGCCGCGGUAAUACGUAGGGCGCAAGCGUUGUCCGGAAUUAUUGGGCGUAAAGAGCUCGUAGGCGGCUUGUCACGUCGGGUGUGAAAGCCCGGGGCUUAACCCC